CGGAGCGUAGCGCAGCCCGGUUAGCGCACCAGUCUGGGGGACUGGGGGUCGGGAGUUCAAAUCUCCCCGCUCCGACCA
rnacentral:tRNA from 1 species